CCCCUCUCAGGGUCACAUCUGGAGAGUUUCCAGAACUCUACCAGUCUCGACUACAGGAGGGAGAGUCAGGCAGAGGCAUAUCUAUUACAUUCCUAGCUUGGGCAGUGGCUAGCCAGUGAAAGGCAACCUGCUACAAGU
rfam:Ornithorhynchus anatinus chromosome X2, whole genome shotgun sequence.